ACUUUUCAUCCGAUAGUAAUCGUCUAGAAAGGAUUGAAACGAAGAGUCGAUUUUACAGUAAAAAGUCUUUCUAUCUUUCUAUCGUCUCUUAUCUAUUAUUUUAACGAUCAUAAUGAUUUUCGAGAUAUGUAUCGGUUAAAGCAACAAUACUUAUUGCGCCGGCAUCGUAAUAAUUACGUACUCACCUGAUAAAGAUCUUGAUGAUCCGAUAAAGAAAUAACGUCUCAAUUGUAGUAAUUAUAAUACUAAGAGAUUUUUAUGCCAAUAAGAAAUCAUUCGACGAAAAUAAUUCAUGGAAAAAUUCAAACUAUGAUGCAAAAGUAACGAGCGAACUUGAGCACUACGUUAACUCCGAAGUUAUAGGAAUCUUGUUAUCACCUGUCAACAGUAAUCUCAUAAAAGACUUUGGAUAUGAUAUUUCUGAUUUUUGUGAUAUUCAUCCUGAAUAUAAUUAAAAAAUGCUCGAAUUGGAAGUAUUAAAUAUGCUAAUUGUAUAUCUGACAGUAAUAAUAAUCAUUGCGAAUAAUUAAAUUAUUCUGUAUCUCAUUCUCAAUCAUAGUAAUUAGAUCAACACGAAUGGUUUAACAAAAUUUUAGAAAGUGUUAAAGUGUCUGGAGGGAAAUAUAAAGAUUAUUACAUAUGGGCGGAUCCUUUCAAUGAAACUGACGUGGUGAAAUUGAAGUGACUACCAAAUAAUUGGCUUGGUGUAUUUGGGAACCCAGAUUGGACUUAUUAUUCCCAUCGAAAGUAAAUAUAUUUACAUCGAUUUCAUCGAAAACAACGAGAUCCAAAUUACAAAAAUUCUAAGAUGAUAUACGAAUUACAACAUAUAUGUUUCAAUAAAGAAACAUCAUGAAUCCUUACGCAAAGAUGUAUAAAGAAGAAAAAAAGGUAUACUGGUAUCUUCUGUGUAAUUAAUGUAGUCAAAUGGUACUUUAAAAGAUGCUGAAUUAAAAAAUGUGAUAGACACAUGGAUUUAAACUACGCCAAUAAAAAAUGUUACCUGAUUGGUUGAUGAGAAAUCACGAAUGCAAUCGUAUCGCUGGGAGGCUCGAUCAGAUAACGAUGUUGGCAAUGAUUUUGCUUGAUGUUGCGAUAACUUAUUAUAAAAAAUAAAUUGAUAUAAUGAUUAAUCAAAACAUAAUAUUUAAACAGAUGCUCAAGCUUGUAGCAUUGUUAAGAAAUCUUAUAAAAGCAAAUCUUAUCUUAUACAUGUAGAACACCAUUUCUGUGGAAUAAUACGAUCGAUAUAGAACCUUGGUAACCAGUUAAUGAAAAUUAUGAAACACUAAAUUUGGAACAGUAAAAAAAAGAUACUAACUCAUAUUACAAGAUUUACACUGCACUAACAACUGCACUAACGAGGUUACGAAGUUCAACGAGUGCACUCAAAAAUGGAUCGUAUCAAAGUAACGUCAAAAAUAAUAAUCUAACGAAGAUGAGUAAGUAACUGUUCUUAUAAAUUUUUCGAAUAAUAAAUCGCAAUCGAUCAAUCUCACUGACGUGUUAGAAAAUAUUUCUACAGUAAAGAACAAGAUGGAUAUACUGUGAUCGUUUCAGAAAAAAACUCCGAUAAUCCUUCAUUCAACGUAUCAACUUUCCAAUGUUUCCAAGUAAUAUACUAACUAUCUUCUAACGAUUUUACUGCUAACAUUCACCAUAGCAUUAAAAUUAUAAGAAAGAAUAAAUUAAUGCCAUUAAUGUUUCUCAUAUAUUUAUCUUCGUAUUACAUUUAUAUCAUCGCGCAUUAAGUUAAAUUAAUCGGAAUGUGAAAAGAAAAUUCUAUAAAAAAAGUUCUAUAACGAUUUUAUAUA